rnacentral:rRNA from 1 species
UACAGAGGGUGCGAGCGUUAAUCGGAUUUACUGGGCGUAAAGCGUGAGUAGGUGGCUCGCUAAGUCGAUUGUGAAAGCCCUGGGCUCAACCUGGGAAUUGCAGUCGAUACUGGUGAGCUAGAGUUCGGUAGAGGGUGACGGAAUUCCCGGUGUAGCGGUGAAAUGCGUAGAUAUCGGGAGGAACAUCGGUGGCGAAGGCGGCAUCCUGGACCGGCAUUGACGCUGAGGCGCGAAAGCCAGGGGAGCAAACGGG